GUUGAGAUUUUCUUCAGAGACUAUAAUGCAUGUUAUCUAGCAGUAGUAUUUUAUGUUUUGUGUCAAUGUCUUAAAUAGUAAUAUUUUUAAUCAAUUAUGUCCUUAAAACUAAAAUCCCAAUAUGAUCAUAUUCAGUAAAUAAAAAAUGGCAUUGUGUGAGUUGAAUAAGGAAGUGUAUUGAUCACGAGUAUAACUCUCACUUAAGAGUGUGGACUGAGUCAUCAUUGAAAUCCUGAUCUUCUUCUGAGUGUGAAAGAGUAUUGAAGUUCUCCAUGCUGUGAGAAGUCAUCUGCAUCUCUUCAUCUUCUGAGUGCUGUUUCGGUGUAACAGUGGAAGGAUUGAUCAUUGGGAAAAAUUCUCCUGCUACUGUCUUCUGGUGUGAUGCCCGUCUGGAGGAGGAACACACCCUAGCCUUAGUGUUGCUUGCUUGGAGCAACCCAGUCCAGCCAAAACAUGACAGCCCGCGUCUGUUUUGGAACUAUUGGGGCUUCUUCCAUGAACCACGUGACAGCCUUGCGGCGACAUCAAAGCGUGUCGCAACUCUCUAAAUAUAUGGCUCUGGGCCGACUGAUUUAACCUGAAAGAAGAGCAGCUUUAACUGAAAUAACCACUCGUUACAACCGAGGUAUGCAGCAAAGCAUUUGUGAAGCCACAACACGAACAACCUUG